rnacentral:lncRNA from 1 species
UGCCAAUUCUGUUUUAUAAUGCUUCUCUCAUUUCUAGGGUGUGAAGAGGAUACUGACCCACCAGAAAGAGACCCCACUGCUAGAACGAAUAAGAUGUGCUGAAAGCCGGAGCAUAACUUGGCCAUUCCAAGAUUUAACGACAAACUAACUACCCAUCAUUAACACUAAAGAAAGAAAACAAUCAGUAAGAGAUUAUAUAGACCUAAGAGAUGUUACAGACCGAAGAAGAACCUAUGGAGGAAGACAGGAAGGUGAGAGAGAUUUGAAGAUGGUAUGUGGCUGAAUUUGAAGAUAGAGAAAGGAACCGCAAGCAAAGAAUGCAAGAGGUCUCUAGAAGCUGGAAAAGGCAAGGAAAGAGUCUCCCCUCAAGCUCCAGCAGGAAUGCAGUCCUGACACCUUGAGUUUAGCCUAGUGAGACUUCUGACCUCCAGAACUAGAAGAUACAAGUGGUGUUUUAAGGCACUAAAACGAAGAACUAGAAGUGUUGUUUUAAGCCCAUAAAUUUGUGAUAAUCUGUUACAGUAGUAAUAGGCAAUGCAUACGCAAGCACACAAAGUAAAAUUUUUCUGUGGUUAUUUUCCAUAUUUUUUCAGUUAUUUUCUGC